GACGAACGCUGGCGGCGUGCCUAAUACAUGCAAGUAGAACGCUGAAGAGAGGAGCUUGCUCUUCUUGGAUGAGUUGCGAACGGGUGAGUAACGCGUAGGUAACCUGCCUUGUAGCGGGGGAUAACUAUUGGAAACGAUAGCUAAUACCGCAUAACAAUGGAUGACACAUGUCAUUUAUUUGAAAGGGGCAAUUGCUCCACUACAAGAUGGACCUGCGUUGUAUUAGCUAGUAGGUGAGGUAAUGGCUCACCUAGGCGACGAUACAUAGCCGACCUGAGAGGGUGAUCGGCCACACUGGGACUGAGACACGGCCCAGACUCUUACGGGAGGCAGCAGUAGGGAAUCUUCGGCAAUGGGGGCAACCCUGACCGAGCAACGCCGCGUGAGUGAAGAAGGUUUUCGGAUCGUAAAGCUCUGUUGUAAGUCAAGAACGGGUGUGAGAGUGGAAAGUUCACACUGUGACGGUAGCUUACCAGAAAGGGACGGCUAACUACGUGCCAGCAGCCGCGGUAAUACGUAGGUCCCGAGCGUUGUCCGGAUUUAUUGGGCGUAAAGCGAGCGCAGGCGGUUUGAUAAGUCUGAAGUUAAAGGCUGUGGCUCAACCAUAGUUCGCUUUGGAAACUGUCAAACUUGAGUGCAGAAGGGGAGAGUGGAAUUCCAUGUGUAGCGGUGAAAUGCGUAGAUAUAUGGAGGAACACCGGUGGCGAAAGCGGCUCUCUGGUCUGUAACUGACGCUGAGGCUCGAAAGCGUGGGGAGCGAACAGGAUUAGAUACCUUGGUAGUCCACGCCGUAAACGAUGAGUGCUAGGUGUUGGAUCCUUUCCGGGAUUCAGUGCCGCAGCUAACGCAUUAAGCACUCCGCCUGGGGAGUACGACCGCAAGGUUGAAACUCAAAGGAAUUGACGGGGGCCCGCACAAGCGGUGGAGCAUGUGGUUUAAUUCGAAGCAACGCGAAGAACCUUACCAGGUCUUGACAUCCCGAUGCUAUUUCUAGAGAUAGAAAGUUACUUCGGUACAUCGGUGACAGGUGGUGCAUGGUUGUCGUCAGCUCGUGUCGUGAGAUGUUGGGUUAAGUCCCGCAACGAGCGCAACCCCUAUUGUUAGUUGCCAUCAUUCAGUUGGGCACUCUAGCGAGACUGCCGGUAAUAAACCGGAGGAAGGUGGGGAUGACGUCAAAUCAUCAUGCCCCUUAUGACCUGGGCUACACACGUGCUACAAUGGUUGGUACAACGAGUUGCGAGUCGGUGACGGCGAGCUAAUCUCUUAAAGCCAAUCUCAGUUCGGAUUGUAGGCUGCAACUCGCCUACAUGAAGUCGGAAUCGCUAGUAAUCGCGGAUCAGCACGCCGCGGUGAAUACGUUCCCGGGCCU
rnacentral:rRNA from 1 species